GCGUAAAGCGCACGCAGGCGGUCUGUCAAGUCGGAUGUGAAAUCCCCGGGCUCAACCUGGGAACUGCAUUCGAAACUGGCAGGCUAGAGUCUUGUAGAGGGGGGUAGAAUUCCAGGUGUAGCGGUGAAAUGCGUAGAGAUCUGGAGGAAUACCGGUGGCGAAGGCGGCCCCCUGGACAAAGACUGACGCUCAGGUGCGAAAGCGUGGGGAGCAAACAGGAUUAGAUACCCUGGUAGUCCACGCCGUAAACGAUGUCGAUUUGGAGGUUGUGCCCUUGAGGCGUGGCUUCCGGAGCUAACGCGUUAAAUCGACCGCCUGGGGAGUACGGCCGCAAGGUUAAAACUCAAAUGAAUUGACGGGGGCCCGCACAAGCGGUGGAGCAUGUGGUUUAAUUCGAUGCAACGCGAAGAACCUUACC
rnacentral:rRNA from 1 species